rnacentral:tRNA from 1 species
AGCCCCAUAGUAUAAUUGGUAAGUACGAUGGCCUCUGGAGCCGUUAAUCCAGGUUCGAAUCCUGGUGGGGCUA